ensembl:lncRNA
GAUGGACGCACACUGACAGAUGCUGAACUCUUUUCUGUAAAUACUAAGACUAACAUCAUCACUCUGAAACAGCACGUCUCAGGACGUCUGGUCUGCUCAGUCAGGAACAAUGUCAGUAGUGUCUCCAAAGAGGAGAUGAUAUCCACCUGUGGCUUCAUUUUCAUUAACUGCACUUCAGUCAAUGGGACACAGAUAUCAGGGUGGGUGUAUGAAGCCAAUAAUACCCUGUGUAUUGAAACAACAACAGACCAUACACAAACUGGCACUGUGUCAAAAGAAAACUCCACUAGCAGCAGUGAUGACCCAUGGUACAUAAGAUAUUUCCCACUGGUUGGUGUUGUUCUCUCAGCAGCUGUAAUUUACUUAGUUGUGGGUGUAGCACUCAUCUGUGCUCAGAGGCAAAAGCAAAACUACAGACCAACAAAACAAAAAGAUGAAGAAGGUGACCAUGAAGUAAGCUAUGCUAAUCUAGGGGUCAUGAAACAGCAGGAGAAGCAAGUGGAGCAAACAGGACAGGUGGAAACAGAGGUGGAGUAUGGCCAAGUCAAGAUUUCAAAGCUCCCUCAGCACACUGAACCUACAGAAGACGAUUGCUUGUACGCCAGGGUUCAUAAAGUCAGGUGAAUUAAGAGCUUCUAUGCAGAAUAACCACUGAAGAGCCACAGAGGAGGACUUGUUGUCAAGAUGUGUGAAUGUCUCUCAUUUAUUGUGAUUUUCAGUGUAUGAGCUUUUCACAUCAAAGCUCAUACAUAUUGAUUUUCUUCACUUUCACUGCACUUGUUGUUCAUAACAGGGCAUAAAUCCAUACUGUAUUAGGUGGCUCUCAAUUACAAGCACCAUGAGUGUAUUAUUAUAUUUUUUAUUUGUAUUCUGUUAAAGAUCUGAGAUUUCCUCCUGUCGUCAGCGUGACAUGUUUUUCACUUAUCUCGUUAAAGAAAUAAGGUAAAAUUGAAAAACAUUUUUUGACAAAUUUCACUGCAGCAACACUUUACAGUGAUCCAAAUGUACAUAUUGAAUAGAAACAAUCAAUAAUAACUCAUUAUUAUUAAUACAUUAUUAUAAUAAUACUAAAAUAAUAUUUUUAAUGUCCAUAGAUAUUCAC